rnacentral:rRNA from 1 species
CCUACGGGUGGCAGCAGUGAGGAAUAUUGGUCAAUGGCCGGAAGGCUGAACCAGCCAUGCAGCGUGAAGGUCAGUGCCCUAUGGGCGUUAAACUUCCUUUGUGCGGGAGCUAUAAUGGUCACGUGUGGCCAGACGAGAGUACCGUACGAAUAAGCAUCGGCUAACUCCGUGCCAGAGCCGCGGUAAUAAGGGGGGUGCAAGAGGUUUCCGGGAUUAUUGGGUUUAAAGGGGGCGUAGGAUGGGAGGUAAGGCAGCGGUUAAAUGCCCCCGGUCAACGGGGUGAAGUGCCAUUGAUACUGCCGUGCUUGAAUGCGGAUGACGUAGGAGGAAUGUGUGGUGUAGCGGUGAAAUGCUUAGAUAUCACGAAGAACUCCGAUUGCGAAGGCAGCUUACUAAACUGCCACUGACAUUGAUGCUCGAAAGUGUGGGUAUCAAACAGGAUUAGAUACCCUAGUAGUC